CGGCUGUAGCUGAUGUUACCAGAUGUUUCAAUGCUUUGCAAAAACCAACUUCUAAAGUUGUUAGAUUUCGGAAAGAUGCAGAGGAUGGUGUUAUAUUGAUCAAAUUAGCGCAACCCCGUACUGUCAUAGUUUCUACAUAUUCAAGAACAAUGUCCAGCCGAGGGUGUGGCUUCCAGAUAUGCUCCAGAUUUUGAAGGUGAUAAAGAUUUAAGUUUCUUAUCAGUGGUAGUGUGGUGCCAUCAUCUUCUUUUUCACCAUCAUCAAGUCCAUUUCGUAAUAACUCUUUGAGGGAAGAUUCUUGCACAAAUAGAC
rnacentral:misc_RNA from 1 species